GUGGGGAAUCUUGCGCAAUGGGCGAAAGCCUGACGCAGCCAUGCCGCGUGAAUGAUGAAGGUCUUAGGAUUGUAAAAUUCUUUCACCGGGGACGAUAAUGACGGUACCCGGAGAAGAAGCUCCGGCUAACUUCGUGCCAGCAGCCGCGGUAAUACGAAGGGGGCUAGCGUUGCUCGGAAUUACUGGGCGUAAAGGGCGCGUAGGCGGACAGCUUAGUCAGAGGUGAAAGCCCAGGGCUCAACCGUGGAAUUGCCUUUGAUACUGGCUGUCUUGAGUUUGGGAGAGGUGAGUGGAACUCCGGGUGUAGAGGUGAAAUUCGUAGAUAUUCGGAAGACCACCAGUGGCGAAGGCGACUCACUGGCCCAAUACUGACGCUGAGGCGCGAAAGCGUGGGGAGCAAACAGGAUUAGAUACCCCAGUAGUCC
rnacentral:rRNA from 1 species